rnacentral:rRNA from 1 species
UACAGAGGUGGCAAGCGUUGUUCGGAAUUACUGGGCGUAAAGGGCGCGUAGGCGGUUCGUCAAGUCCUGUGUGAAAUCUCCCGGCUCAACUGGGAGGGUGCGCCGAAUACUGAGGGACUAGAGUACGGGAGAGGAAAGUGGAAUUCCUGGUGUAGCGGUGAAAUGCGUAGAUAUCAGGAGGAACACCGGUGGUGUAGACGGCUUUCUGGACCGUAACUGACGCUGAGACACGAAAGCGUGGGUAGCAAACAGG